rnacentral:rRNA from 1 species
AAAUUGAAGAGUUUGAUCAUGGCUCAGAUUGAACGCUGGCGGCAGGCCUAACACAUGCAAGUCGAACGGUAACAGGAAGCAGCUUGCUGCUUUGCUGACGAGUGGCGGACGGGUGAGUAAUGUCUGGGAAACUGCCUGAUGGAGGGGGAUAACUAUUGGAAACGGUGGCUAAUACCGCAUAACGUCGCAAGACCAAAGAGGGGGACCUUCGGGCCUCUUGCCAUCAGAUGUGCCCAGAUGGGAUUAGCU